AGAGUUUGAUCCUGGCUCAGAGCGAACGCUGGCGGCAGGCUUAACACAUGCAAGUCGAGCGGGCGUAGCAAUACGUCAGCGGCAGACGGGUGAGUAACGCGUGGGAACAUACCUUUUGGUUCGGAACAACACAGGGAAACUUGUGCUAAUACCGGAUAAGCCCUUACGGGGAAAGAUUUAUCGCCGAAAGAUUGGCCCGCGUCUGAUUAGCUAGUUGGUGAGGUAACGGCUCACCAAGGCGACGAUCAGUAGCUGGUCUGAGAGGAUGAUCAGCCACAUUGGGACUGAGACACGGCCCAAACUCCUACGGGAGGCAGCAGUGGGGAAUAUUGGACAAUGGGCGCAAGCCUGAUCCAGCCAUGCCGCGUGAGUGAUGAAGGCCCUAGGGUUGUAAAGCUCUUUUGUGCGGGAAGAUAAUGACGGUACCGCAAGAAUAAGCCCCGGCUAACUUCGUGCCAGCAGCCGCGGUAAUACGAAGGGGGCUAGCGUUGCUCGGAAUCACUGGGCGUAAAGGGUGCGUAGGCGGGUCUUUAAGUCAGGGGUGAAAUCCUGGAGCUCAACUCCAGAACUGCCUUUGAUACUGAAGAUCUUGAGUUCGGGAGAGGUGAGUGGAACUGCGAGUGUAGAGGUGAAAUUCGUAGAUAUUCGCAAGAACACCAGUGGCGAAGGCGGCUCACUGGCCCGAUACUGACGCUGAGGCACGAAAGCGUGGGGAGCAAACAGGAUUAGAUACCCUGGUAGUCC
rnacentral:rRNA from 1 species